rnacentral:lncRNA from 1 species
GAAAAAAGCUAUAGGGAUCAUUUCUUGUCUUAGUCUAAGCACCCCUGUGGAGAAGAUCCAAGCGUGAAGCUUCCUUUGAAGUGAGUGGAAUCUCCACACUCAGAUCAGCUCUGAGGGUAUAUAGAGGAGAACAAGAAACUGGCUGCAUGAAAGCAGCUAUUAGCAUUUAAAUGAGGCUAGGCUUAAAAGAAAAUUUAUGCAU